AGAUUGAACGCUGGCGGCAGACCUAACACAUGCAAGUCGAGCGCCCGUAGCAAUACGGGAGCGGCAGACGGGAUAGUAACACGUGGGAACGCGCCCUUCGGUUCGGAAUAACUCAGGGAAACUUGAGCUAAUACCGAAUACGCCCUUACGGGGAAAGAUUUAUUGCCGAAGGAACGGCCCGCGUCCGAUUAGCUAGUUGGUGAGGUAAUGGCUCACCAAGGCUACGAUCGGUAGCUGGUCUGAGAGGAUGACCAGCAUCACUGGGACUGAGAACGGCCCAGACUCCUACGGGAGGCAGCAGUAGGGAAUUCUCCACAAUGGGCGAAAGCCUGAUGGAGCAACGCCGCGUGCAGGAUGAAGGCUCUCGGGUCGUAAACUGCUUUUAUAUGUGAAGAUUAUGACGGUAGCAUAUGAAUAAGGAUCGGCUAACUCCGUGCCAGCAGCCG
rnacentral:rRNA from 1 species